GACGAACGCUGGCGGCGUGCCUAAUACAUGCAAGUUGAGCGCUGAAGGUUGGUACUUGUACCAACUGGAUGAGCAGCGAACGGGUGAGUAACGCGUGGGGAAUCUGCCUUUGAGCGGGGGACAACAUUUGGAAACGAAUGCUAAUACCGCAUAAAAACUUUAAACACAAGUUUUAAGUUUGAAAGAUGCAAUUGCAUCACUCAAAGAUGAUCCCGCGUUGUAUUAGCUAGUUGGUGAGGUAAAGGCUCACCAAGGCGAUGAUACAUAGCCGACCUGAGAGGGUAAUCGGCCACAUUGGGACUGAGACACGGCCCAAACUCCUACGGGAGGCAGCAGUAGGGAAUCUUCGGCAAUGGACGAAAGUCUGACCGAGCAACGCCGCGUGAGUGAGGAAGGUUUUCGGAUCGUAAAACUCUGUUGGUAGAGAAGAACGUUGGUGAGAGUGGAAAGCUCAUCAAGUGACGGUAACGACCCAGAAAGGGACGGCUAACUACGU
rnacentral:rRNA from 1 species